GAAAUUGAAAAAAAAGUAAAGCAGAGGAAUUAGGAGGGAGUUCCUACCCCUUAUAGAAAAAACAGCAGCACAGUCCCGUUUUCUUCCAGUGUGGAUUCCCUUCCCCUGUAAAUCUCUCUCAUUCGCAUAGCUAGGGUUUUUAUUUCGUUCGAAACGCCCCGCCUCCUCCUUUCGUUGCCAGUGCGUAGUCGUUGAGAAGGCGUCGUUCGGACUUCUGUUUGUAGUGAUCGCUUUUGUCCAUCAGAAUCCACUCGAUACAAGGUUCAAAAUGCCUCAACGUUCAGAAAAAGAAAGAGGAAGAGAUAUUAGUCACUCUGAGUUUGAAGAUUAUGAGUACCGAUAUUAUAAAGAAUUGAAGAGAGGAAGCAUAACAGUUAGAAUUUCAAGUUCUCUAUAUAAAUGUCCAUUUUGUGAUGGAAAUAGGAAGCGGGAUUAUCUUCUGAACGAGCUUCUCCAGCAUGCUUCUAGAAUUGGGAGCUCAAAAAGUUGGGGAUUUAGAGAGCAGGCUCGACACUUGGCUUUGAAGAACUAUAUCAAAAGGUAUCUGAAUGUAAAGGAUGGCUCUCGACCUCCAAUUAAAUUGAACAGCCCCAAUUUAAGGGACAACUCUCAUUCCGUCAUCCAACCAGAUUGCACUAAAGUAGAGCAAAGCUCCUCUCUACCCGUGACAAAAGGGCAAUGCUCCAAUGUCAAGGAUGUUCCUCGACCUAGCCUCAUACCAGAACAUCCCAUUGUCUCUUGCAAUGAGGAGGAGCAGCAGCUUGUUUGGCCUUGUAUGGGCAUUGUUGCAAAUAUAGCAACAAGUAAAUCAGCAGAUGGACGACGUGUUGGGGAAAGUGGUUCAAAACUCAGAGAUGAACUCAAGGGAAAAGGUUUUAAUCCGGUUAGAGUUCAUCCUUUAUGGACUCGUUUUGGUCAUUCUGGGUUUGCCAUUGUGGAAUUUGAAAAGGACUGGGAUGGCUUCAAGAAUGCAAUUAUGUUUGACAAAAGUUUUGCGCUUGACCGUCAUGGGAGGAAGGACUACUAUGCAACUCACCCUCAAGGAAAUAGAGGAAAUAGAUUGUAUGGAUGGGUUGCCCGACAUGAUGACUAUAAAGCGCCAGGUCGUAUAGGUGACCAUCUUCGUAAGAAUGGGGAUUUGAAGACUGUGUCUGGUAAGGAGGAGGAGGAUCAACUCAAGGCUGAAAAGCUUUUGUCGAACUUAAGCAAUAACUUGGAGAAGAAGAAUAUGCACCUCAAAGAAAUGGAGAACAAAUAUCUGGAGAUCAGUGAAUCUUUGACCAAAUUGAUGGGACAAAAGGAGGAAAUGCUUAAAACUUACAAUGAAGAAAUAAGAAAGAUGCAAAAGAAUGAACGUGAUCGUUUCAAGGAGAUCUUCUUAGAGCAUGAGAAGGCCACACAACAUUUGCAAGCUCAGAAGACAAAACUAGAACAGCAGGAAAAGCAGUUGCAAAAACGCUUUGCCCAGAAUGACAGUGAGAAAAGGAGACUUGACCGUGAAAAGAAGAAAAAUGCGAGAGCAACCCUUGAGCAAAAGAAGGCAGAUGAAGAUGUCCUAAGAUUGGCUGAAGAACAGAAGGAAGAAAAGGAGAAAUGGCACAGAAAAAUCAUUGAACUAGAAGAACAACUUGAUGCCAAACAGGCAUUGGAGUUGGAGAUGGAACAGAUGAGAGGUUCGUUACAAGUGAUGAAACACAUGGAGAAAGACGAAGAUAUGAAAGUCAAGAUGAAAGCACUUGAAGAAGAUUUAGUAGAGAAAGAAGAAACGUAUGAAGGCUUGGAAGAAUUAAAUCAAACCCUGAUUGUCAAGGAGCGGAAUACCAAUGAUGAAUUGCAGGAAGCUCGUAAGGAACUAAUAAAUUAUUGGAGAGAUGCUCCUGUUUCCCGUGUCAUCAUUGGUGUUAAGAGGAUGGGAGAGCUUGACGUUAAACCAUUUCUCCCUGCCGCCAAGAGUAAAUAUCCUCAAGAAGCAGAAGAGAAAGCUCUAGAGCUAUGUUCAUUUUGGGAGGAUCAACUAAGAGAUCCGAGCUGGCAUCCAUUUAAGAUCAUCUUGGAUGAGAAACAAAAUGCUAAGGAGAUUAUUAAUGAAGAGGAUGAAAAUUUGAAGAAUUUGAAGGAGGAACUUGGUGUGGACGUUUAUAAUUCUGUGAUUACAGCUUUGGCUGAAAUGAAUGAGUACAACCCAAGUGGCAGGUAUAUAAUACGAGAGCUGUGGAAUUACAAGGAAAAAAGGAAGGCUACCCUCAAGGAGGGAGUAUUGCAUAUAUUGAGGCAGUGGAAAGCAAACAAACCGAAGAAAGCGAGGCGUUAGAGGUAAGCUUAUGUUAGAGCUGCAGAAUUCAUACAAAAGGAAGAACUAAAGUAGGGGUUGCAGCAGAAGACUAUUGUUACCGGUGGCUGCCUGGCCGGGGAUUCUGUGCUUGCAUCUUCAAUUAUGUUUCCAGCCUGGGUCAUUUGUUUGUUGGGAUGCUGUGGAAUGUGAGUUCUAUUAUUUGUAGGGUUUAGCAUUUAGGGAUAUAGUAGAAAGAAAUAGUUCUGCGUAUGGCGUGAAUUGCCAUAAGAGGCAAAUUAUAAUUUAGGAUGCUCAACUGAUCUAGGCAAUUUAUAUUAGAUAUUUGUUUCAAAGAUGUUGCUUAUUUGGACCACCAGAAAAUCAAUGAAAUCACAGACUAGUUUAUGUUCA